rnacentral:lncRNA from 1 species
ACAAAGAAAAGCACUAAUUUAGAGAAUGCUUACGUCUAGCUUUCACAAACAUCACAUCAUAGUUAUUAAAACAAGAAAGAAGAAGAAGAAGAAGAAGGAAACAUUUGUUUAUAACAUACAUAAAGUAUCUUCCCUCAACUAUCUUUAUUACAACACAAGAAGGUAAGAUUUCUCACAACAUUCACUCCCUUACCCUUUGUUCUUCUGUCUCAUCGUGCAGUAUUUUCCUCAACUUUGUUAUCUGCAAUUACAUUGUGUAAUAUGUUGCAGAAUUUUACAAACAAAAACAAAAAAAAGUGACAUUUUAUACACUAUAUGAUAGAUUUAACUAUAUAUAACAAUAAUAUAUACUAUCUAAAGGAGGCUAAGGGGAAAAAGAAUGUUUCUCCCCAUUUACGCCUCUUACUGAUUGAUGAUAUGAUUAUUCUAUGUAAUUUCACAUUAAAAUCAUUAAAAAAAACACAUGUUUUCUUCCAAUUUUUCUUUUUAAUUCUUUAAAAAAAUAAAUUUAAAAAUAUUUCUAGAUAACCUAUAUCUAUCUAACACACAUACAAUCUAAAAAGGCUUUAGACAGAUUUUCCCAAAUUUUUCUAUCACAUGUUAAACAAAAUAAUUAAUAAUAAUCAUAAUCAUAAUGAUAAAAGGUGUGUCCUACCAAACAUGUAAAAUCUAAAAGGGUCUUAACUUAACUUGGUUUAGAAAAAAAAAAUUUAAGUAAUAUAUAUAAUUUUAAAAUCUAGAAUGUGGUUACGAAAAACAUAAAUAACUAAGUUCAACAACAUCCGUAACUCUUCUCACUACAAGAAAAAGUUAAUUUUUCGACACACAAAACAACAUCAAGAGAUAAUAAGUCAGAAAAAAUGAUAUCUCCUUACAAGCUAUGGCAAGCAUUGGAAGUUAGUCAUAACCCCGAACGUUGUACGUCGGGAGUAAAUUGAGAAAGAAUGUUUUUGUAGAGAAACUCCCGACGCCUUUCUUUAGAGUUUUCCUAUUUUAUAUAGAACUUUCAGAUCUCAUUUCCUUCCUACUAUUUAAACUCUAAUUUUUCACUCUCCAUCUUCCUCACAACGCCAACGUCGUUUGCUCGCACAGCCCCCUUCCCACCUUGGGUUGCUCCGCCUCUUCCUCUCUCAACGCUACUUCACCCACCACCGCUACUCCCUCCAUUGUUUUCCUUUACCUAUUUCAUUUGUACAUUAUUUCUUCUCUUUUGUGCACUUUCACGACUUGAUUUUCAAAUUUAUUCUAAUUGUAAUUUCCUUUUUCACGAUAAUUUUGUUUAUUUCCAUUUUAGGUUUGUGUGUUUAUAGUUUUUCCUCAGAUGCUACUUGCUUUCGUGUUCAUAUUUGAAAUUUAUACAAAAAGCUUAAAUUCAAAUAUGGUUUUUUGAGCAAAAGGACUUAACGAUGAAGGGCUUAAUCAUUGUAAAGGUUUUUUGUGGCCUUUUGCUUUGAGAAACCAUCGUGAGAUGUUUAGGUUUUUUAUUCUUAAUCUGAAUUUGAAUGUUAUAAAAGCUUUUUUUUUUAUAUACUUUAAUUCUUAAAUUCUUUUGUUGAACUGAAGUGUUUAUCUCCUUUCUUUAGAUUUUGAUCGAACUUGGUACGAAUUGAGCAAAUGAGAAAUUACAAAGUUCAAGCAACUCAUCAAUGUUAGUAAAGUGAAGGAUUCUUGCUUUCAUUGAAUAGUAAUGUAAUUGUUAAAUUUUGUAGUUAGCUUCAAUUAUAUAUAUGUAGUUUAGAGUUGCAUUUUAUUGCUUGUAGUUGUGAUCUUUGAUUGAAUUAAUUACGUGGCAAGAGAGAUUAUUAUGAUCUUUUUUCUCCUUUAGUGAAUAAAUUUCAUAUUAAUUUCUAAAAUUACAUCAAUUACCUAACAAAAUUUCACAUAUUAAAAGGAUUUAAACACCUUGGAUGUUCUUUUGGUCGAGAUUUAGACGGUAAUAUAACGUUGAUCUAAAUUCUUUUUGAAUUAAAUUUGAGUGUUUACAUGUUGUCCCUAGCAUUUGUGAACUCUUAGAUCCAAACUAGAUUUGGACUAAUUCUAACAAAGAUCAUAACCUUUGGAAUAAUCUUCAUUUGUAGUUGUUUAACUUUUUUUAGUUUAGAGUUUCCUUUGAUAUAUAUAUUCUUAAUAUUUGUUGUGAUACAUGCCUGCAUAUUGUUACUAAUUGUUACUUAAUACCACAACUUAAUUAUAUUGUAGGUAAAUAUGAUGUCUUGGAAGCUACAUGUAAAUUGUACACUUAUACUGUACCCUAUAUAGGUAAACAUUAUUAUAUUCUUUACUACACCUAUCUCUCUUAUAUGUAAUAACAAUUUUGGUUGUUUUUUUGAGUGUGUGUGAAAACUUUUCCUUUGCUCAACUAUUAUUGAUUUGGGUUCUAUAAAUUUUAGGUUAUGAAGAUCAAAUUUAAAAACAAUUAACUGGUUAAUGAAUGAAAAGAAAAGAAAUGGUUCAUUAUGAAAACGGAACAAUAGAAAUAUCAUAAGGUGAGAUUUGUUAAAAAGAUGAUGAGAUAAAAUUGUAAAAUAAAAAGAAAAAGAUAAGCUUAUUUAUUUGAGAAUUAAGAGAAUAAUAAUGAUCAUAAUUAGAUAAGAGAGAAUAUGAAAUGGAUGAAAAGAAAAGAAUGAAAAUGGAAGUGGGAGGUGGCAUUAAUGUAUUAUAGGAUUGCCAGAAAAGAGAUCUAAGUAUCUAAUUUCAUAUCACAUAAUUAUUUAAAUUAAAAAGAAGAAAAACAAAAUGUAAAUAAGAUGAUGGUUAAAAGAAAUACCUGGACCGCACUUGAUUGUACACUUCCUCUCACAACGCUGCAUCGCCCUAG